rnacentral:misc_RNA from 1 species
GAUGAAGAACGGAGCGAAAUGCGAUAAGUAAUGUGAAUUGCAGAAUUCAGUGAAUCAUCGAAUCUUUGAACGCACAUUGCGCCCGCCAGUAUUCUGGCGGGCAUGCCUGUUCGAGCGUCAUUACAACCCUCAGGCCCCCGGGCCUGGCGUUGGGGAUCGGCGAGGCGCCCCCCGCGGGCACGCGCCGUCCCCCAAAUACAGUGGCGGUCCCGCCGCAGCUUCCAUUGCGUAGUAGCUAACACCUCGCAACUGGAGAGCGGCGCGGCCAUGCCGUAAAACACCCAACUUCUGAAUGUUGACCUCGAAUCAGGCAGGAAUACCCGCUGAACUUAAGCAUAUCAAUAAGCGGAGGA